AAUAGAUACCCCGGUAGUCCUGGCAGUAAACGGUGCACGUUUGGUGUGGGAGGAUUCGACCCCCUUCCGUGCCGGAGCUAACGCGUUAAACGUGCCGCCUGGGGAAGUACGGUCGCAAGAUUAAAACUCAAAGAAAUUGACGGGGGCCCGCACAAGCGGUGGAGUAUGUGGCUUAAUUCGAUGCAACGCGAAGAACCUUACCUGGCCUUGACAUGUAUCGUGACAAUCUGUGAAAGCAGGUGACUGCCCGCAAGGGUGAUGGGGAUACACAGGUGCUGCAUGGCUGUCGUCAGCUCGUGUCGUGAGAUGUUGGGUUAAGUCCCGCAACGAGCGCAACCCUGUGAACUGUUGCCACCGGCGCAAGCCGAGCACUCUGUUCAGACUGCCCUGUGGAAACGGGGAGGAAGGUGGGGACGACGUCAAGUCAGUAUGGCCCUUACGGCCAGGGCUGCACACGUACUACAAUGCCCACUACAGAAUGAUCCAAAUCCGCGAGGUGGAGGAAAUCUCUAAAAGUGGGCCCAGUUCGGAUUGG
rnacentral:rRNA from 1 species